AUACGUAGGGGGCGAGCGUUGUCCGGAAUGAUUGGGCGUAAAGGGCGCGUAGGCGGCCCGGUAAGUCUGGAGUGAAAGUCCUGUUUUUAAGAUGGGAAUUGCUUUGGAUACUGUCGGGCUUGAGUGCCGGAGAGGUAAGUGGAAUUCCCAGUGUAGCGGUGAAAUGCGUAGAGCUUGGGAGGAACACCAGUGGCGAAGGCGACUUACUGGACUGUAACUGACGCUGAGGCGCGAAAGUGUGGGGAGCAAACAGGAUUAGAUACCCUGGUAGUCCACACUGUAAACGAUGAAUGCUAGGUGUAGGGGGUAUCGACCCCUUCUGUGCCGCAGUCAACACAAUAAGCAUUCCGCCUGGGGAGUACGGCCGCAAGGUUGAAACUUAAAGGAAUUGACGGGG
rnacentral:rRNA from 1 species